ensembl:lncRNA
UUUUUCUGGAGAUUUCUCCCUUUGGAGUUUGUUUGUGAGUCUAAGAUGCAGGUGAACCCAGAUGAUUGAGGGCUCUGAGAUACAGUGCUGUUCUGAAGAUGUUGCAGAGCUGAAUUACAGAUUCACGAAGUUAAAGGGAGUUAAAUGGAAGUUCAGGUAGCACAUCAGGACAUCAGAGAGCUGUGAAGAUAAGUUCAGAGAUUUCAAUCUUCCUUUAACUUCAAGAUACAGUGAAAGGAACUGCUUCCAGUACUUUGGCUGAAGAAACAAGUAGAGGAAGAAAAGCAAUCUGAUCUAAAAGAUUAAUGUGUAAAUAAAAAAAAUUUACUAAAAUAGUGCAUAUUGCACAGCAAGCCCCAGGAAUACCCAUGUCUGAUCACAGAGGCAAUAUUUUUUAAUAUUAAUAGAUUAUCAUAUAAUUUGUUUUUGUAAUUCAGUAUGAUCUUGAUACAGAGUGUCAAGAAAAAACAAGGCUCUGUGCUCUCAGGUUCACAGACAAGACUUUCUCAAUCCUUUCUACAGGAUUGGCAGAACUGACGAACCUUAGAAUCUCUCCUUUACAGCACAAAGCACUAAAUCACAUCAAUAUUUCUCCCCAGAGGAUAGUCUUAAGGAAAACAAUGAGUAACAUAAUGUGUUCUGCUACCAAGCUUUAAGCUCUAAAGAAACCCUAAAUAUCUUGAAGUAUUCAACAUUUAUCUUCAGCACAGUAGCAGAGAAACCAAGUUUAUAGUUUCCCCUAGAAACAUACAUGCUGUUAUGCCCUCCAGAUGCUGAAAUCCAGAAGAAAGUUUGAGACACUCCAAUGUUAGUUCUUGACAAUUGCUUGCAGGCUUUUUUCACAUAUCUACUGCUAACUUGAAAUAUUGUACAGCCUUGCUUUCUUUCCAAACUGCAUCUCUUAAUCAUAACAAACUGUCACACAUUGUCAGUUUCCACCCAUGGAAAUGAUAAUGAGCAGCUUCGCUUUCCAAAAACACAUCUAACUGAUUUCAGAUUGAUGGGGAUGGCACAAACUUUUGUCUUUGAUGAGCAUAUUUGUGCAGCUUGGAGGUUCCACCCCAGAAAAGUAAACAUGCUCUUGGCAGCCAGAAGACAGCACCAGGGUUCUCUUCUAGUAGCAAGGAACUAAUCACGGAGCAGAUGCUGACUUCAUGCGUUGCUCCCUAAACUCUGGGUUGCUAACAAGAUUUAAGUCUCUAAUGGCCACUUCUACACCUAAUUGCAGACCUCUGAGUAACAACUCCUCACUUGGAAACACUGUAUUACAGGUGCCAUAGUUUCUUUUCCAAACUUCAAAAGGUGAUGUGUCUACUCUUUCAUAAUGUACUUUACUUUCCUUACAUUAUGACUUCUGGAAUGGCAGCUUUUAUAUUUCCUAAUAGUUGGUAAAUUUAAAAGUAUUAUCAAAGCUUUAUCAAAGUAUUAUCAGAUGGUUGGCAGAUCUUGGUGCUGCCCAUGGCCUCUGUUCCAUAAAAUGCAGUAUGAAAAUCUUUCCACUGGACUCCAAAAAAUAGAAAACCAUCAUGAUUGUGAGGCAGAAUGCAGUUAUACUGGUGUUUUGGACGUAAAGAGUUAAAUAAAUGAAUCACAGAGAGAGUUUGCAAGAGCUUGAUUGUGUGCGAUUCAGUAGACAAGAUUGGAAAGGUGAAGUAUCAGCACAAGAUUUGUGAACAAAAUCCCAGAUCAUUAAGGACUCAGUAUGAAGUCAAAGUAAUUCAUUUCUUAAAUGCUCAUAAUGAAGAGGACAAUACAUCUACUAUUCUCUAUUUUCCAGUAGAUUGUUGCAACUCAUUUACAAAACUGUAAAUAUUAAAGUAAUGACAGCUUUUGACACAAUACAACAGAUGGCAAGUCUCUUAUUACAUUUCCCCUAUAAAAUCUGAUUGUUACAAAAAUGCUUUCUUCAUUGUGAGUGAAACUAGAUGCUUGCUCAUUUGCCCAUGCCACAGCAUAACACUACAGAGAUCUCAAGCUGUUUGACUUUUCAAAGAUAUAUUUGAAUGAAAAUAAUGAUAUAAUUUCUGCCUUUUUUAUUUUUUAUUUUUUUAUUAUUUUUUGUCAUGUGAAGGAAAUGAAAAUUGAGCUUCACACAGGCACUGAUAAUUUAAGAGUCUUUGAAUAAGUCCU